rnacentral:rRNA from 1 species
UGGGGAAUAUUGCACAAUGGGCGCAAGCCUGAUGCAGCCAUGCCGCGUGUGUGAAGAAGGCCUCGGGUUGUAAAGCACUUUCAGCGAGGAGGAAGGUGGUGAGCUUAAUACGCUCAUCAAUUGACGUUACUCGCAGAAGAAGCACCGGCUAACUCCGUGCCAGCAGCCGCGGUAAUACGGAGGGUGCAAGCGUUAAUCGGAAUUACUGGGCGUAAAGCGCACGCAGGCGGUUUGUUAAGUCAGAUGUGAAAUCCCCGGGCUCAACCUGGGAACUGCAUUUGAAACUGGCAAGCUAGAGUCUCGUAGAGGGGGGUAGAAUUCCAGGUGUAGCGGUGAAAUGCGUAGAGAUCUGGAGGAAUACCGGUGGCGAAGGCGGCCCCCCUGGACGAAGACUGACGCUCAGGUGCGAAAGCGUGGGGAGCAAAACAGGAUUAGAUACCCUGGUAGUCCACGCUGUAAACGAUGUCGAUUUUGGAGGUUGUGCCCUUGAGGCGUGGCUUCCGGAGCUAACGCGUUAAAUCGACCGCCUGGGGGAGUAC